ACAAAAUAUCGUAAAAAUAAACGGGGAAGCAAAGGGUUUAAGAGCCAGCUACAAGGUUGCAAAUCAUAUUCCUUUUUGCUCUCUCUCUUUACUCUCCCAUCUAUCUAAUACUCCGAAAUUGAAGGAGUUACUUCGGUGAUAGAGGUCGAGGGGGAAGGUCAAGUAGACGUGAAGGGAGAAUUUGAUAAGCUUGAAAUGACAAAGGCACUAAAGAAAAUAGAUGACUCUGUUGUCAUAAUCAAGGUUGGACCAGAUGAAGAAAAAGAUCCAGAAGUGAAUAAGCCACCCAAUGAAGAAACUUUUUCCAAAACAGCCUUUGGAGGAAACAAACCGCAUAUUGACAAAGAAGAAUUGAAUAAGCCAUCCGUUGCUGCCGGUAGCUCAAAUUGGAGAAAACCGCAAUAACCUACCUUGUGGGACAAGGCAAAGGGUAUUGGUGCGAGUGCGGUUACGCAGGCAUCAGUCCUCCGUGCCACUGCGGUUAAGCAGGGAAAAGUUUUUGGAGCGGAAGCGGCUAAAAUUUAUAAAAAAUAAAAUAAAAGAGGAUGAUGAUCAAGGUGGCACCAUGGAGAAAUUCAAGAGAAUAAACAAGCAGAACUGGGGGAUUAAUAAGAGAAUAAGAUUCGGAGGAGAAAAGACACAAGGGACAACAAGUCAACAACACAAGGUUCCACAGGAGAUAAAACGUGGACGAAUACUUUUACUUCUUUAUUCACAACUGGACAGACGAGUACGCGAGACCCAGGUUCGACACAAACACAGAAAACGGAGAAAAGUUAGGCAACCAUGGGAAAUUUUCAAUACAUCAAACCAUUACCCAUAGAAUGACGUUGUUCUGGACUAGAAUUUCAUCUCAUCUUCUAAAACAAUGUUUGUCUCCUUGUUUGUUGUGGUAUUUAUUACAU